CACUAAUUAUGACAUCUUUUUGCACACUCACAACCUUUUCUUUAUCUUCUACAUACUGCUGCUGAUUCAUGCUACUGGAGGUGUUCUAAAAUAUCAAAGUAAUUUAGAGAAGCACCCUCCUGGCUGUCUCAAUCCAAACAAAACCAUAAAGGAUUAUUCUGUACUCAGUGUGGUUGAUGGGGAAUCAUUUUCUAAGAGCAUGCCGGCUACGACUCCAGGGAACUUUUCUGAGAAUCAAGGAGAAUUAAUUGGGAAUAAUUCCGAAAAAUUAUGCACCGAAGAACCAGAGUUUCAGCCUCACUUCCCAGAGACUUGGCUUUGGGUUUCUGGUCCAUUGUGCUUAUAUUGUGCUGAGAGAUUAUACCGACUGUUAAGGAGCAGGAAACCAGUUACAAUUACCUCAGUGAUACAUCACCCAUG